GAUGCAGGCACACAUAAUAAAGACACGAAUAGCCAUAGCAUUAAUCUCACCAUCAUUUUUAUGAGAAAGCAACCAAAAACCAGGUUUCUCUUGUAAUGGAAGGAUUAGUAUGGAAAGCCAAGUUGAAGCCGACAUUAGAUGUUGUCAUCUUCAUAAUAACCGCGCGUGGUAGCGUGAGUAGCGCAACACCCUUCCAUUGAAGCAGCGGGAAACAAACAAAAGUGGCCACAUCUCUAACAAAAACGCAUCAAAAAUGAAAUCACGGACAACUGUAAGGGAGUAGGAGAACUUAUAAAUUGCCUACAUUAAUUCCAGGGACUUUUCAAAGCAACAAAUUGAGGAAAUGUCAGAUUUUCAAGGCGUCACUCCUCUGCUUUCCUCUCCUCUGGUGGGAGAAUGGUGGAUGGAUCACCACCCAGAUGAGAUGUCUGAACAGUCGUCCGUCCGCCUGAGGCCUGAGCUGCACCUGUGCUUGGCUAUCACCCUCCACACAGAGGAUGUCUCUACCACCACCCCAGCCCUGCUACAGGACAACUGCUCGUGAUAGAGGUCCUUGGUGUUUUCUGGGGGAAGCCUCAUGUCGAACCAGGUAAGACACACACCGUCUGAGUUCAAGGGUUAGAAUCGUCCAUGUAAUUGGAGUGACAAGCUGCUACCACAGCUGGAACAUCAAUGUAUCUCUGCAAUUCUGUGUAUCUAGAAUGUCUCUGUCUAUAGUUUCUUAAACUUUUUCAGCCUGGGACCCAAAUUCGAAAUUCUGUGUUUUCCUGGGACCCAAACUUAUGAAAACAUGCAACUAUAUUUCAAGUACAUGUCAUUGCCCUUAUGCCAGCCUAAAACAAAUGCAAUAUAGACAAA
rnacentral:lncRNA from 13 species